GUUAGUUUGCUCCUCUGCUUCUGAUGUUUGUUUCCCAGUGUCGUGUGGAUUUAUGGAUUAUCACCUGGUUAUUUCUGGAUGUACGUUGUUUGGCUUUGGACCGCCUCACCGUCGCUACAGAGGCAGCGAGGUGGAGUCUCUGCUGCUGCCUCUGCAACACCAUCAGGGAGGAGGACCAACAACAGGAGCAGGGGGAGCGAGAGGGAAACAGAAAUCGAGAUGUUGCUUCUUGAAGCCCUGAAGAGGCCUGCUGCACCCCCCCCUCUCUCAGAGGACGAGCACUUCCUCCAAAAGCCUGCUUCCUUCCCUGCAGAGAUUGCCGCCCCAGCAGAAGGAGUUUGUGAAAUUUCAAAUUCACUGUGGUGCUCAAUUUGGAACCAGUAGUUUUGUUUCAUUUUGUUGUUUUUUUUGAACUCAUUGUAAAUAGUUAGCUGAACCAGUUUAAUUAGAGUUUAAUGUUAAAAUGUUUCCAGUGUUUGUACAAAGUUGUAAAUACAUAUUCCUUAUUUACAAAAAUACAGUUUACUCAGUCUUUAUGUCAUGAUAGAUAUUUAGUUUGUUUGAAAAGUUCAGGUAACGUUUGUAUGAUCAUCUCACUGCAGCGUAAACAUGGUUUUGUGUUUGUUUAGCUGCUAAUACUUCCAUCUGCACUAAAUACUGUACAAAAACUAUAGUUACUACAUAAUCAGUACGAUCAUAAACCAAAAAUUCAGACACUUUCAUGAUGGCAGAUGUCGAGAUUUUCCCUUUAUUUUGCUGGCAGUAUAAAACUACUGUAGUUCUGAAUAUUCAUCUUUACAGUGAACAGUGGUGUCCGCUGUUGUGUUGUAGCUGUAUUCACUCGCAAUGUCAAUAAACCACAGAAAUAAAUGAGA